CUUUGUUCUUAAUUGUACCAUUCCUCUUUGGUACCAAUCUUACCGAUGCUAGAGAGAAGGAAAAUGAAAUAAGAUUCGGUAAAGGGAGAUACGACAUUGAGAAACAAUGCUGGACGGAAAAACCUACAAAGCCCCGCUUGGAGGUCCGUUCUGAGUGUCAGUCUUUGACAAUCAGGAGAAAGAUUCUUCGUGCCCUGAAACGGAGGCCAGGAAUAAGGGAGUUUCUUGAGCAAAAGUCACGUGAUUGUAAACUAAGGAGAUAUAUUGGACUGAAAAACGUUUGUCCGCACAAAUUCCAGUAUGUAACAAGGAUAGUGAGAUACAGAAAUUCAUGCUAUGUUGUAUUUCCGCACAGGCAAUGUAUAACAUACGCCAACUGUGAAAAGAAAGAGGGUUGCUCGAAAAAUGGUCGUGUGAAGAGUGCUUGUUUACCAGAUCAACACCGCAUUUAUAAAGUCUUGGUUUAUUGUGUAGACAAGUAUCGAUUUGAACUGGAAACCUUGGAGUUACCUCAGUGCUGUACCUGUAGAGAAUACUCGCUUUGCGAUGGAGAUGACGAUGACGACGACGAUGACGACGAUGAUGUCGAUAACGAUGGACGAUAAUGAUUAUCGUAAUGUAAGCAUAGGUUGGAAUAGAAGUUUUGAGGCACCGAAAAAGGUGAAAAAAAUAUGACAGGAUCUCAUAAAUUUCUAUAGAAGCACAGCCUUUAAUAUG